AUUGAACGCUGGCGGCAGGCCUAACACAUGCAAGUCGAGCGAGCGGCGGACGGGUGAGUAAUGUCUGGGAAACUGCCUGAUGGAGGGGGAUAACUACUGGAAACGGUAGCUAAUACCGCAUACCAUCAGAUGUGCCCAGAUGGGAUUAGCUAGUAGGUGGGGUAAUGGCUCACCUAGGCGACGAUCCCUAGCUGGUCUGAGAGGAUGACCAGCAACACUGGAACUGAGACACGGUAAAGACUCCUACGGGAGGCAGCAGUGGGGAAUAUUGCACAAUGGGCGAAAGCCUGAUGCAGCCAUGCCGCGUGUGUGAAGAAGGCCUUCGGGUUGUAAAGCACUUUCAGCGAGGAGGCGUUACCCGCAGAAGAAGCACCGGCUAACUCCGUGCCAGCAGCCGCGGUAAUUC
rnacentral:rRNA from 1 species